CAAUGCCUUUAAUUUUAUCAUUAUUUCUUAUCAUACAUCCCAAGAUUUCAGCUACAAAGAGGAAUAAAUAUGGUGAUAAGGGAUCUCCCUGUCUACAACCCCUUUCAUUUUCAAAGAAGUCAGAUAAGUGGCCAUUUUGUAUCACGCAAGAAGUUGUGUGAUAUGUUAGUAGAUUAAUCCAGCGUAUUAUUUGGGGACCAAAGCCAAAUUUCUUAAGGACUGAAUUGAUG